rnacentral:misc_RNA from 1 species
GAUGAAGAACGCAGCGAAAUGCGAUACUUGGUGUGAAUUGCAGAAUCCCGUGAACCAUCGAGUCUUUGAACGCAAGUUGCGCCCGAAGCCAUUUGGUUGAGGGCACGUCUGCCUGGGCGUCACAUAUCGUUGCCCGAUGCCUAUUGCACUAUGAUAGGAAAUUCUAGGGCGAAAGAUGGCUUCCCGUGAGCGUUGUUGCCUCGCGGUUGGUUGAAAAUCGAGUCCUUGGUAGGGUGUGCCAUGAUAGAUGGUGGUCGAGUUUGCACGAGACCGAUCAUGUGUGCGCUCCCCAAAAUAUGGACUCUUUGACCCCACACGCGUCUUUUGACGCUCAUGACGAGACCUCAGGUCAGGCGGGGCUACCCGCUGAGUUUAAGCAUAUCAAUAAGCGGAGGA